UGAGUAACACGUGGGCAAUCUGCCCUGCACUCUGGGACAAGCCCUGGAAACGGGGUCUAAUACCGGAUACUGACCCGCCUGGGCAUCCAGGCGGUUCGAAAGCUCCGGCGGUGCAGGAUGACCCCGCGGCCUAUCAGCUUGUUGGUGAGGUAAUGGCUCACCAAGGCGACGACGGGUAGCCGGCCUGAGAGGGCGACCGGCCACACUGGGACUGAGACACGGCCCAGACUCCUACCGGAGGCAGCAGUGGGGAAUAUUGCACAAUGGGCGAAAGCCUGAUGCACCGACGCCGCGUGAGGGAUGACGGCCUUCGGGUUGUAAACCUCUUUCAGCAGGGAAGAAGCGAAAGUGACGGUACCUGCAUAAGAAGCGCCGGCUAACUACCUGCCAGCAGCCGCGGUAAUACGUACGGCGCGAGCGUUGUCCGGAAUUAUUGGGCGUAAAGAGCUCGUAGGCGGCUUGUCACGUCAGUUGUGAAAGCCCGGGGCUUAACCCCGGGUCUGCAAUCGAUACGGUCAGGCUAGAGUUCGGUAAGGGAGAUCGGAAUUCCUGGUGUAGCGGUGAAAUGCGCAGAUA
rnacentral:rRNA from 1 species